GACGUAGGGCGCAAGCGUUGUCCGGAUUUACUGGGCGUAAAGAGCGCGCAGGCGGUCGUUCAAGUCGCGUGUGAAAGCCCCCGGCUCAACUGGGGAGGGUCACGCGAUACUGAUCGACUGGAAGGCAGGAGAGGGUAGUGGAAUUCCCGGUGUAGUGGUGAAAUGCGUAGAUAUCGGGAGGAACACCAGUGGCGAAGGCGACUACCUGGCCUGUUCUUGACGCUGAGGCGCGAAAGCUAGGGGAGCAAACAGG
rnacentral:rRNA from 1 species